rnacentral:lncRNA from 12 species
AAUGCUCUGGAGAGCAGAGAGAAAAUGGUGGAUUUAGCACACAUGAAUAGCUAAAUUCUACAAGUUUUUUACAAGGCUUUUUUCUUUCUUUUUUGAUGAUAAGUCUCGAUAUUAAGAAAGAAAAAAAGAAAGAAAAGAAAGAAAGAAGAAAGAAAGAAAGAAAGAAAGAAAGAAAGAAAGAAGAAAGAAAAGGAAAAGCAAGGCAGAAAGAGAAAGGUAACAAAAAAAGUAAAGUAGGGAGGAAGUGAUGGAAGGAAGAAAACUGAAAAAUAAUUUAUUCUAAACAAAUAUCCUUAGUAGCAAGAAAGACCUGCCUACAGAGUGGAAACUGAGAGAGAGAGGUUUGAUUCUCUAUGAUUUUACCCUCUUGCAUUUUAUGAAGAUUGAUAGAAGAGUUUAUUCUGUGACUCUGGAUUUCUUCUAUUGGCACAUUGGGAUGAAUAUUAUUAUAAGGGGAAGAUCAAAUUCUCUUAGAAGAUGGCAUUUCCAGCUUACCAUUCAAAGAAAUUCCAUCCUCUGCCUUUUUGGAAAUAUCAAGAAAAUACCGUCAUUGAGGUUGUGGAGAUUAAAGUGUGAUUAUUGGGAUCCCUGGGUGGCGCAGCGGUUUGGCGCCUGCCUUUGGCCCAGGGCGCGAUCCUGGAGAUCCGGGAUGGAAUCCCACGUCGGGCUCCCGGUGCAUGGAGCCUGCUUCUCCCUCUGCCUAUGUCUCUGCCUCUGUGUGUGUGUGUGUGACUAUCAUAAAUAAAUAAAAAUUUUUUUUAAAAAGUGUGAUUAUUAAAAUGUUAAGCAUAGUAUCUGUCAAAUAGUUCAUAUGCAAAGGCUAGUUGUAUGUAUUAGCAACUA